CCCCUGGUGGUCUAGUGGUUAGGAUGUGGCGCUUUUACUGCCACGGUCCGGGUUCGAUUCCCGGUCAAGGGA